CAUAGCAAUAUGUGGCAUACGGCUCAGUAACACGUAGUCAACAUGCCCAGGGGACGUGGAUAACCUCGGGAAACUGAGGAUAAACCGCGAUAGGUCAUCACUUCUGGAAUGGGUAAUGACUUAAAUCUAUAUGGCCCCUGGAUUGGACUGCGGCCGAUCAGGCUGUUGGUGAGGUAAUGGCCCACCAAACCUGUAACCGGUACGGGCUCUGAGAGGAGGAGCCCGGGGAUGGGCACUGAGACAAGGGCCCAGGCCCUAUGGGGCGCAGCAGGCGCGAAACCUCUGCAAUAAGCGAAAGCUUGACAGGGUUAUUCUGAGUGAUUUCCGCUAAGGAAGUCUUUUGGCACCUCUAAAAAUGGUGCAGAAUAAGGGGUGGGCAAGCCUGGUGUCAGCCGCCGCGGUAAUACCAGCACCCCGUGUGGUCGGGACGAUUAUUGGGCCUAAAGCAUCCGUAGCCGGUUCUGCAAGUCUUCCGUUAAAUCCAACUGCUUAACAGUUGGGCUGCGGAGGAUACUAGAGAGCUAGGAGGCGGGAGAGGCAAGCGGUACUUAGUGGGUAGGGGUAAAAUCCGUUGAUCCACUGAAGACCGCCAGUGGCGAAGGCGGCUUGCCAGAACGCGCUCGACGGUGAGGGAUGAAAGCUGGGGGAGCAAACCGGAUUAGAUACCCGGGUAGUCCCAGCUGUAAACGAUGCAGACUCGGUGAUGAACAGGCUUCGUGCAUAUUCAGUGCCGCAGGGAAGCCGUUAAGUCUGCCGCCUGGGGAGUACGGUCGCAAGACUGAAACUUAA
rnacentral:rRNA from 1 species